rnacentral:rRNA from 1 species
GAUGAACGCUAGCUACAGGCCUAACACAUGCAAGUCGAGGGAACGGCAGCUUAGCUUGCUAAGCUGGACGUCGACCGGCGCACGGGUGAGUAACGCGUAUCCAACCUGCCCAUCACUUGGGAAUAACCUUGCGAAAGUAAGACUAAUGCCCAAUGACAUUUAUAGAAGGCAUCUGAAAUGAAUUAAAGAUUUAUCGGCAAAGGAUGGGCCUGCGUCUGAUUAGCUGGUUGGUGGGGUAACGGCCUACCAAGGCGACGAUCAGUAGCCGACCUGAGAGGGUGAUCGGCCACAUUGGAACUGAGACACGGUCCAAACUCCUACGGGAGGCAGCAGUGGGGAAUAUUGCACAAUGGGCGAAAGCCUGAUGCAGCAACGCCGCGUGAAGGAAGAAGGUCUUCGGAUCGUAAACUUCUGUCCUUGGGGAAGAUAAUGACGGUACCCUUGGAGGAAGCCCCGGCUAACUACGUG